rnacentral:tRNA from 1 species
GCCGGGUUAGCUCAGUGGUAGAGCAGUGGACUGAAAAUCCUCGUGUCCCCAGUUCAAUUCUGGGACCCGGCACCA